UAUUGUUACUAUUAUAGAAGCACUGAUUUGGAGUAGGAUCGUCGUCAAUCAAGGGCAAACUUGACAUUUAGCUCAGUUAAUGCAGGGGUAAAAGAGUAAUUAUACAUGAAUGAAUUUUAGCAAAUAUUUCCCUUCCCUUCUGGAUCGUUCCUUCUAUCUUUCUCUUUCUUCUCACUUCCAGAUCAAGAGAGGAGAUGACUCAACAAUUGCUAAGGCCUAAGAGGCAGAGGAAUAGGCCAAGUACUCGAUCAUCUUUCUCAUACCUCUUCUUCUCCUUUGUGCUCAAACUGGGGCUAAUUAAAGGAAAUUGCACUGGAAGAAAGAUUCAAUGGAUCAAAGAUCUCACCUGUAGUUCCAAGAGAACUUCAGAGUCGUGGCAAUGAAGGUGAAUUUGCACUUGUAUGGAUAAUAUAAGUGCUAACUGCAAUUAAAUGUACUCAAUCAAUAAGAAUUGUUGCAUUCAUUUACUUUUAUGUCUAGACACUGUGGUGGAUGAAGGAUAAACUUGACGGGGUCAAUUGUACCCAUUAUUUUCAA